CCUCUUGUUCUUUUGGCUGGGAUCUUGUCAUUCCUCCCAAAUCCUUCCUCUUCCAAACCUUUUUGACAAUCUUUAUAGGUAAGGCUUUAGGUGGAACAUUGGUUGCAGUUUCUUUUUUUAUUUAGGUCGUAUGGGUCAUAAUCUAGGGCAGCAAGGAUGUCAAAUCUCAUCUUGGAUGUGAAGCCUUGUCCUCGGUUUUGACGUGAAGCUCGAAUAUCCGCUAGGUAUCUCAAAAAAAAAAAAAAAAAAAAAAGCAUUUUUUGUGUGUUUGUAUUUCAUUCAUUCUCUGAAUUCCUCCUUCAACAGGUUCGGAUUGUUUUUCUGUAGGAGGAUUCAUGAUCUCUUCAUGGGAUGAGGAAGCUGACAAAAUGAAAUUAGGAUCAAGUAGAGGCAUUGUAAUCAUGGAGCAGAGCAAGAUGGCAAAAAGCAAGUUUAGGAAUCAAGGAAGAAGAUGAACCCUCUUUUCAGGAAACUAAAGAGAAGGUUGAGCUUCUCACUAGCCUUUUUGGUAACUGUCCGCCUCUUUGAAAACGAGUGUGAAAAUAAAUUUCUUUCUAAUUCAGACGUGGACUGGCCUUUUCUACUUGCGUUUAACUCUCAGACUCUCUCUGACGCAUACAUCCUCUCCGAAGUCAAUUGGUGGGCUUAUUAUUAAUUAUUUGUGCAAAUAGUUUUGGUGAAUUAAGUCUUCCAAGUAGUUUUUUUUUUUUUUUUUCUUGGGCCUGAAUCUUCAACUAAUGUCGACUGUUAAUAUAUAAAUACAUCCUUAAGGGAGCCUAA